rnacentral:rRNA from 1 species
CCCCCAGACUCCUACGGGAGGCAGCAGUGGGGGAUAUUGGACAAUGGGGGAAACCCUGAUCCAGCGACGCCGCGUGAGUGAAGAAGUAUUUCGGUAUGUAAAGCUCUAUCAGCAGGGAAGAAAAUGACGGUACCUGAGUAAGAAGCCCCGGCUAACUACGUGCCAGCAGCCGCGGUAAUACGUAGGGGGCAAGCGUUAUCCGGAUUUACUGGGUGUAAAGGGAGCGUAGACGGCGAUACAAGUCUGAAGUGAAAGCCCGGGGCUCAACCCCGGGACUGCUUUGGAAACUGUGUUGCUGGAGUGCUGGAGAGGCAAGCGGAAUUCCUAGUGUAGCGGUGAAAUGCGUAGAUAUUAGGAGGAACACCGGUGGCGAAGGCGGCCUGCUGGACUGUGACUGACGUUGAGGCCCGAAGGCGUGGGGAGCAAACAGGAUUAGAUACCCCAGUA